CGUGAAAGAAGGUCAUGGCAGUUAGGGUGCCCUUCAAAAGGAUGUCGAAUGGUACCAGUGGUACCGUUGGUAAUUUACGAUAGGGUUACUGAUCGUAAAAGUAAGUUUACCAUCCGUGAACCAAGGGCCAUGGCAAUUGGCGUACCCUUCAAAAUAAUAUCGAAUGGUACCAGUGGUACCAUUGGUAAGAUAUGAUUAUGGAUCGUGAAACUAAGUUUACCAUCCGUGAACCAAGGGUCAUUGCAGUUGGGGUACCCUUCAAAAUAAUGUCGAAUGGUACCAGUGGUACCGUUGGUAAGAUAGGGUUACUGUUCGUGAAAGUAAGUUUACCAUCCGUGAACCAAGGGCCAUGGCAGUUGGGGUACCCUUAAAAAUAAUGUCGAAUGGUACCAGUGGUACCGUUGGUAAGAUAGGGUUACGCGUCGUGAAACUAAGAUUACCAUCCCUUAAUUAUGUUCAAAUUGUUGCAAAAAUCGAUAUUUUGAUGCGUAUUAAAAGCUAUAUAAUAUGCUUAUAUAGUAUAGCCUAAAGGGAUAUUAGCUAAUAAUAUUAAAAUUUAUAUAAUAUAUAUCAUGAG